GCCCCGUGCCACCGUGGGGGAGGACUCACAACCUCGGGGCCUCGAGACUCCCCCAGCCACGGAUUAGAACCCCCUCCCCGGAGAGACCAGAAUACAUCAAGGUCACCCAGAGGACGCCUGGAGGAUCCCUAGGUGGUUUGCCCUGCUGGUCACUCUUAUGCCUGGAGUAGCCAAGAGCCUGAAAGUUUGAAGCAAGAGGAUGUCUGAGAGUCGGAAGCCUGGCUGGCCCGUAAGAUCCUGUCUCAAAAGUGAAAACACUCUCACACCCGGUGAGUUAGGGCUAUAGCUCAGCCCGUGAGUGGAAUGGCUGGUGCGCGUGCUUGAAGCCCUGGGUUUGACCUUCAGCCCCACAUAAAACCGGAUGACAUGGCACAGACACGGACAGGAGGACGGGAAGGACAAAGUCAUUCUAAGAACAAAGAACCCACUUAAAAACAGACACCAGCCAUCUUUAAUCCCAACACUCAGGAGGGAGAGGCAGGUGGAUCUUUAUGAGUUCGAGUCCAGCCUGGUCUACAGAGCAAGUUCCAGCGCAGCGAGGGAUACAGAGAGAAACCCUGUCUCGGACCUGCCCCACCCUGACCCCCACGCCGCCUAUUAAAGAAGUGGUAUAUACAUUGCAGGGUCUAUCAGACAGGUAGAGGUGAGGCCCGUCUUCUCUCCUCUCCGUGUGCCCAGUGUGUCCCCAUUCUCUCACAUGAAUGUGCAUACAAACACACAUGUGCACAUGCAUGAGCAAACUCAGUGGAAAAUAGGGGAACAUGCCUGCAUGCACACACAUGCAAACAUACUCAUGAAUACAAGCAUAUCACACAUACACACAUAUGCACACACACAUGUAUACAAGUACACACACACACACACACACACACAUGAGAAAAUUAGGAGGGUGUGGGAAGGGAGAGGAGGCCCCUGGAAUCUGGUUGAAGCCUCUUUCUCCAACUGAGACUGCAAGGCUCCAACACAGGCAGCGUUUGGCUGAGACUUCUCUCCUUCCAGCCCCAAACCUGUAAUUUUCUAUCAGUCUCACAUUAAAGCCCUUGGGUAAGUAACCCCAGUGGCUCCUUGUUUUACCUUGUCAGCUUAUCUUUCUGCCCAAGGUCCCUGUCCUAGAAUUCCGAUUAUCAAAGGCACCUGCUACCAAGCCUCAAAACCCAAGUUUGAGUCCCUGGGAUACAUACUGGAAGGAAAAAAAAAUUCCCACAAGUUGUCUGUCCUCUGACCUCCAAGUUAGGGUGCCGGAGCAUGCGCAAAUGUAUUCAAAUGAAUAAAUAAAUGUAAAAGAAAAAUUAAGAGGGGGGAGAAAGUUGCUUAGCAACCCUUUGAGAUGCUGAGAGCCAUCGAAAUGGUAUAUUUGUCUACUCCUAAGAUAUUUAAGUGCGACUCGUCCAUGAGGAGCCCGCAUCCAGACUCUUUGUUAUGUGUGUCAUGUGUCUUAAUUUCCCUUAAAUGAAUACCUUUCUCUCCCCCGCAGCUCCCCAUCACCCAUUUAGGCAGGGUCUACGGAGCCCUGGCUAGCCUGGAAUUAGGUUAAGCAUGCUGACCUCAAACUCACAGAGAUCCUCCUGCCCCAGCUUCCCAAGUACUGAGAUUAAAGGCAUGGGCACCACACCUGGAUCCUCUUUCAA